GACAGAGGGGGCAAGCGUUGCUCGGAAUUACUGGGCGUAAAGGGCGCGUAGGCGGAAUGGCAAGUCGGUCGUGAAAUCCUUCGGCUCAACCGAAGAACGUCGAUCGAAACUGCCGUUCUUGAGGAUUGCAGAGGAGACUGGAAUUCCCGGUGUAGCGGUGAAAUGUGUAGAGAUCGGGAGGAACACCUGUGGCGAAGGCGGCCCCCUGGGCCGGCCCUGACACUGAGACGCGAAGGCGUGGGGAGCGAACGGG
rnacentral:rRNA from 1 species